CUGUUAGGGUUCGCUUUGUCAGAUGGAAUAGACGAUAGAGAAUAUGAAGUAGCAGGCAGCGAGAGUCAUGUGGAGUACAGCAAUCUGGAGGAGAUUCAUCCUUCCCGAGAGAGGGUUGUGCUUUCGUCGGGAUUUCAGCUCCACGAUAUACGUCAGCAGACUAUCAUAUUACACAAGCGAUGAGGAUUUCGAAAACAUGUUCUCGCGGUUUGGCCGUGUGGAGGAAGCUAGGCUUAUCAGGGACGCAAGAACUAAUAGGCCUAAAGGCUUUGGCUUUGUGACUUAUGCAUCUGAUGCUGAAGCAGAGAAGGCAAUAAAAUCUAUGGAUGGAAGGAUAUAUGGUGGGAGGCUGAUAUUUGUGGAAUAUGCCAAGUCUGGGUCACAGGAGGACAAAACAUAAUUUUCUCCAGUGGUCUCCAGUUGCUUACAGACAUUUGCUGUUCCAUUUUAUGUUAAGGCCCUGCAAUGAACUGCCAAAUAUUUGAGAUUCAUUCUAUGGUAUUUUUCUGGUGAUUAUGAAUUUUCAACUGGGACUUGAGCAAAGCUUACGUUCAUGAGGGUCACCACCAAGCUGCCAUAUAAGAAUCUUUCCAUGCUGUCUCUAGAUAAGAUUUUCUAGAAGCCCUAUACUCAAGAAGUUGUUUGAUUUCUGAUUGAUGAAUCAACUAGAUAUUGCACAAAUCUUACACAGAUUUUAUUAUUAUACUGAAGCAUAAACAUAUGAAAAUUUAUUAACUCUUUUUUAUCCAUGUACCUGAAGGCGAAAGCCACUUAGAUCAAGUCUUGGGUUUAACUCCUAUAUCGGAAAGGUCCUAUGAAUGUUUUCACUGCAUAUGUUCUUCCUAGCACCAAACAUCUAGCUCUUCCUUGAUGAUAGUAUGAAGUUAUUUAAGUUAUAUGGUUCUCUUUUCUUAUUAUUUAAUGAAGUUCUAGAUCUGGUCAUGUUUGAUUGCAGACUUAAAGUUACUUGUAGAUGGUAGUUUAUUUAUUGGUUUUAAUGAACAUGCUUGCUAUUAGAAUAUGGUUGAGUUGACAAGAUGUACUGUUCUUUUCUUGAAAGCCUUAGUUCCAUGCUAAAACAUAAACAAAUUUGAUUGCCAGGGAUGUUCAUACAAAGAUGGAGAUCAGAUCCCAUCAAUGGUAAGUUCAAUCCAGUUAGUAGUCACAAACAGAACUGUAUGGUUCCAUUUAAAGGUGUAAUUGAAUAGGAACUGCAUAUAAAUAAAUAACUUGUUAAUCUGAGCAUAGCCUUGGAAAAAUUCUGUUGAUGUCCAUCCUUGGAGUCUUUGUUUUUGAGUUUUGUGGCAAAUAUCAACUCCACAGUGCUUUAGAAAUGCAAUGAC